AUAUUUCAAAGCAUAUAUAUAUACAAGGAUCAUGACGAAGUUAAAGUUUGAUUACGAGGAGGAAUACAUAAGAAACUCGAGAGGCGUCGAGUUGUUCGCUUGCAGAUGGGUUCCGUCUUCUUCUUCUCCCAGAGCUCUCAUCUUCCUCUGCCAUGGCUACGGAAUGGAAUGCAGCGGCUUCAUGAGUGGUAUUUGAUUAUCAUCCUCUUCUCUCUUUUAAUGCUCCUCUGCCACACGAUACAUAGUAUAUAUCCUCUUUUCAACCAAACCAAUAAAAAAGUUCUUCGUCUAUAUUCGACUCAACCAUUUAAUCGUCCAUAUUAGUCUAUAAUAUACUCUUCUGCAUGGUUGCGUGUUUGUUACACUUGAGUUGCCUUU